AGCCUCUUGGCAUACCCAAAUUACGGGAUUCGGAAAUACCGCAGGGCUUGUCUCAUUUGGCUUCUGCGUUCUUCUUAAGCGGGCGCACAGAGAGAGAGAGAGAGAGAGAGAGAGAGAGAUGGUUGUGACGAAAGAAGAGGUUGUAGCCGCCCUCACUUCCUCUCUCAGCCCUUCUCAUCUUCAAGUGAUCGAUACAUCCGGGGGAUGUGGAGCGAGCUUCGAUGUGGAGGUGGUCUCGGAGAAGUUUGAGGGGAAC